rnacentral:sRNA from 1 species
AUGCUAACUUUUGCCACUCUCUCCUUUACUGGGCAUUUGGGUUCAUUAGAGCUUGCUGGGGCAUCCAUUGCUAGUGUGGGAAUUCAAGGUCUUGCUUAUGGGAUUAUGGUAUGACUCUUUCUUUUUUUUUACUUGAGAAUUUAUAUGUUGCCUAGGAAAAUUAUUAUUUCACAUUUACCCAUUUCAAGACUGUCGUUAACACCACACAAAUAUUGUGGAUAUGAAGUUUUGCAAUGUUUGUGUAGUGUGAAACGGGGAGUGUGAGACAAUUACGAUCCAAAAUUCUAGUUACACUAUAUAUAUAUAUAUAUAUAUAUUGUCUUUCAUUAUAUGUUUCAUGUAUGUAAUUCUUUCUUUAUGAUGGAAAAAAAAAAAAAAAACAACAGUUGGGCAUGGCUAGUGCUGUGCAAACCGUGCGUGGACAGGCAUAUGGGGCCCAAAAAUAUGGGGCAUUGGGCGUCAUAUGCCAGAGAGCAAUAGUUUUGCAUCUGGGAGCAGCAGUACUCCUUACCUUCCUCUAUUGGUUCUCUGGCCCAAUCCUCAUAGCCAUAGGCCAAUCUGAGAGCAUAGCUGAGCAAGGCCAAGUUUUUGCACACGGUUUGAUACUCCAACUCUAUGCAUUUGCAAUAAGCUGCCCCAUGCAGAGGUUCCUCCAAGCACAGAACAUUGUAAAAUCCUCUAAAGGUUCUUCUUCUUUUCUUUCUAAAGGUAUUUUUUUUGUUAAUUAAUGAAUGCCAUUGUUGUUUGAUAUAGUAUGUUGUGAAUUUUGUAAGUUAUUUUUUAUUAUGCUCAGUUUCCUUUUCUUAUUAAACCCAUGGACAAGCCUAUGUUACUAUUGAUCGGCACUCUAUUGUUCUACUAAUUUUAUAUAUUAGUAUAAUAAUAGGAUUGUAUAGCAUCGGAGUGGGGCUCGUCAAAGAACUAAGAACCCAUGAGGUUGCCAUUGCCAAACUCAAUAAUCUUUCUUCAUCUAGGCAACCUUAUCAACCCCUCUUUGUUUGUUACUCUUUACUAUAAUACCACACUAGACUUGCCCUUGUCUUUUGCUAAUGUCUCUUUUAUUGUUUCCAUAGUGGCAAAGUAUGCUGCCAAGUGCUUGUAAAAAUUACCCAGAGAGUCAAAAAUAAAUAAAUUAAGAGAUUUGUGGACGCUAAUUAGUUAAUGGCUUUAAGAUGUGCUGAACAUGAAUAUGAUUGAGCUAUAUCUAUAUGCUAACUUUUUUUUUUUUGGGGGUUUAACACUAUGUUUUUGCAAAUAAAAAAAAAAAAAAUCAUCUAAUUGUGGUUUGGGUUGGUCUAUAUUAAUUUAAUAAAGAUGUGUAUAGUGACUGAGAUUGAACUUUUUGUGAGAAUUUGGUCAAAUUUCUGAAUAUUAGAUGAAAAGAAACUAAAAAAUAAGUGGAAGUUCAUUUGUCCAAUACAAGCACUAGUUUGAAUGAUCCAUUCUUAGGAUAAAUUGCACUUAAGAGAAGUUUUUGGGGGAGGGAGGUAUUGCAUAAUUACUAAUUAGUGAAUAAUUAUUAAGGAAAAACCAUAGAUAAAAUAGCGGUUUUUGCAAACAAGAGAGGCAGCUAACCUAAUAGGUAAAUGAUUCAAUGCAUCUUAGAUUAAAGAGUACUAUCAUUUUCAUAAAACUUGUGCAUGUACAAAUGAUUUUAUAUCUUGAAAAUUCUCAUCGUGCUUCUCAUCUGACAUGGAUGCAGAUUAAAGCUCAAAAAACAUGAUAUGUGGUCCAUAUCUGCAUGAGGUAGUCUUCUUUAAAUAAAAUCAUUUUUACUUAGCAAUAUAUAUAUUAAUACACAUCUAGAGCUGUAAGGCAUUGAUGGUUUUAUUUAGUUAUGCGUAGUUGUUGCAAGGGUAAUAGAAGGCUGCCUAUUUUGUGGCAGUUAAGCAUGGCUUGAAAUUUUCUUUUACAUUUUCUUUCCCUUGGUGAAAUGUUAGGCAUUCCUUUACAAUGCACACAUGUUUGGUUUGACAGGAAUGCCUUGCACAUAUUUUUUAUGGAAUUUUCCAUUUAUUAAUGGUCUUACUUAUUGCCUUUAUUUUUAGUCUAUGCAUCUUCAUUUCUAAAUAAAUAAACAUGUUAGAUUGGUUGAUCUUAAUAAAAUAAAGAUUACAGUACUCAAGUUUGUAAGUGCGUUCAUUGCAUUUUUAUAAAUAUUAUACUCUUAUUUUGCAGGUUAA